AAUGAACGUUGGCGGCGUGGAUUAGGCAUGCAAGUCGUGCGAGAAGGGUUCUUUUGCUNGCAUNAGGACCCGGAAAGCGGCGAAAGGGAGAGUAACGCGUGGAUCAUCUACCCCUGGAUCCGGGAUAGCUGUGGGAAACUNCAGGUAAUACCGGAUAACGUCUCCGGACCAAAGGUGUAAUUCCGUCUGGGGAUGAGUCCGCGUCCUACUAGCUUGUUGGUGGGGUAACGGCCUACCAAGGCAAUGAUGGGUACCGGGUGUGAGAGCAUGGCCCGGCUCACUGGGACUGAGACACUGCCCAGACACCUACGGGUGGCUGCAGUCGAGAAUCUUCCGCAAUGGGCGCAAGCCUGACGGAGCGACGCCGCGUGCAGGAUGAAGGCCUUCGGGUUGUAAACCGCUGUCAGUUGGGAGGAAAUGCAUAAGGGUUCUCUCUUAUGUUUGACCGAUCUUCAGAGGAAGUCCGGGCUAAGUUCGUGCCAGC
rnacentral:rRNA from 1 species